GACGUAGGGCGCGAGCGUUGUCCGGAUUUAUUGGGCGUAAAGCGCUCGUAGGCGGCUUGUUACGUCGGAUGUGAAAACCCAUGGCUCAACUGUGGGCUUGCAUCCGAUACGGGCAGGCUAGAGUUCGGUAGGGGAGACUGGAAUUCCUGGUGUAGCGGUGAAAUGCGCAGAUGUCAGGAAGAACACCCGUGGCGAAGGCGGCUCUCUGGGACGGUACUGACGCUGAGACGCGAAAGCGUGGGGAGCGAACAGG
rnacentral:rRNA from 1 species